AUUAUAACUCUAAAACGAUGAGUCGCAUAGUCCAGAUUCACAAGUAUAUUUACAAGAUAUAGAGCAGACAAAGUAUAGGUACUAGCUUGGAGAAGAGUUCAGACCAUCACCAAGCUAGUACCUAUACUUUGUCUGCUCUAUAUCUUGUAAAUAUACUUGUGAAUCUGGACUAUGCGACUCAUCGUUUUAGAGUUAUAAUAAAUUAUACUCUUGCAUAUUACACUUCAAA